rnacentral:lncRNA from 1 species
UAAUAUGAGGCAGGCAUAACCUGUGAAUGGGGACGAAGUCUGUAUGUAUUAUUUUUUAAUUCAAUCACGUUGAUAAAAGAAACCGAAAUACCAUACGUAGCGUUCCCGAUUUUGAUUCUGUUGUUAGGGAAUUAGCUGUGACGUUCUUUAAGUUAUGACGUCAUAUUCGAUGUAAACAAAAGAAACGCUUUCAUCAGGUAACGUUUUUUCAUAUCAAAC